AAACUUGUUUGUUUGCUCCUGAAAAAUGAAAAGAACAUUCUUUCCUUCCCGUUUGCUUGUAGUCUUUGCAAUCUCAGCUGAAAGAUGCCGUAUCCCAAAUACUGAAUGAAAACUCUUUUCGUGUUCUCAGUUGCUCAAAGUUCAGUCGAUGCUCAUCGCCCUUCUAUUUCACCAGCUCUCUAAUACAGAAGGAAGACUGGGUUUUCUGGAUCUGAUCCCCUCCUAUAUCCUAGAUUAAGGCAUCCAGAUUAAGCUUGACAGAACUAAUAUUAGUCCAACUGUUCUUGGAAUAUUUCAUCUGUAAAAUAAGAGGAGGAAUCAAUUCAGAAUACCUAGGGGAAAGGAGCAGGAGAGAAUGACUUUUUUUGUACAAGAAGGUUUUGCCACGAUGAGGAAAUGAGCAAAUACAACAACGAGGUUGUUUCAACAAUAUGGUUUUGCCUGUAGGAAUGCCCACCUCAGGAAGCCUGACAGCUGUGAUAAAAGCAAGCGGCCAUAGGAAAAUGGCAGGGAAAGAAGGAGAGGGGGGAAAAAAAAAAGACAAAAGAAGGGCAGUGAGAAACACUAUUAAUUAGAAAAAUGUCAUAUUAAACUUUAAGAGCAGCACCAGCAGCUGCCUACACCUGGAGGGGAAUGAAGGCAGACAAUCAGGGCAGCGUGCUGCGUCUUGCGUGCCUUCCUCUGCUCCUUGCGUGCAUUCCUGGGGCGGCUGCAAGUCUGUGCAGGGAACAUUCCAGCGCCCGCCUUCCUGCCGCGCUCCCACCUCGGCUGCUUGGAAAAAGAAGGAAAUGACACAAGUGCUGCUAAGACGUUGCUUUGUGCUUUGCUGGGCCUGCUUAGAAAUCCUUGAGCAGCGUGGCAGCAUCCUCCGAUCAGCAGCAGCACAGGUGGAGGAAAAUGCUGGGGUUGUUCCAGGACAGCGAGAAUUUCAGACCAGGCUGCCAGAUGCUCACUCAUGCCAGAGCAGGAUGAGUAAUAGUGUCUUCAUUCCUAAACGAGCCCCUCUGAUUCAUGUUCUUCCUCUCAAAGCAAAGCCCAUCAGCAUUUCCAUGGAUAUUACAGCCAUUAUCAUAAUGAGCAUGAGGUAUAUCUUGCUCACCAUCUUGCUAAUUCUGCCCCGACUGUGCUUCUGUAAUCUUCAUCAGAUUGCAUCUUCAGCAGAGCUGCAAUAGCUGUAGUCAUGAGAUCAUGCCCA
rnacentral:lncRNA from 1 species